rnacentral:lncRNA from 1 species
UUUUUUUUUUUCUUUUUAGGGCCACACCCACUGCAUAUGGAAAUUCCCAGCCUUGGGCUCGAAUCAGAGCUGUAACCACCAGCCUACACCACAGCCACAGCAACACCAGAUCCUUAACCCACGGAGCAAGGCCAGGGAUCGAACCUGUGUACUCAUGGAUGCUAGUCAGAUUCUUUUAUGCUGAGCCAUGGUGGGAACUCCCGUUUAAGGAUCUUACCAGCUAUAAUGGAAAAAAUAAAAAUCAGUAUUAAAAAAAAAAAGAAGAAGGACUUUCCCAGUUUCGUAAAGCAGUUGAGACAGGCGUGAAAUAGAGUGAGCUCUGCCUUCUCACUUCGUGGACAGUUUUGACUAGUGAACAGCCUGGGAUACCCAGGGAAGCCAGCGCAGAAAUGCCCACUUGGACUGCUGGACGGAGCAACACGGAGGAGCUCAAAUGCCAUCGUUGGCAGGAGGAAGAAUGGGGAAGUGCCUUGUGUCCUCAAUAGAAAGCAGAACUCGUGCCCUGGGCUCUUGUGAGUUCUCCUCGCGUGCCCGUGCCCUCCGUUCUCCUGUGGGGACUCGCGUGAGACGGUGAGUGCUCUGGCGACACUGAGGUUGAGAGUCUAGUCUGCUUUCAGAGAGAGGCUCAGAGGAGUUACAGGACUGUCUGUCCGUGUCACCUCAUUACUUGUGACCAUGUCCUUUUGCUGUAAAACGGCAGCGCAUCCUCGGCCCCCAUGACCUGGUGGGCUGCUCUGUGUCCCGCUGUCAGGUCCCCCUCCCCCCAUGGCUGACCACGUGGACACUGCACCUUCUGCCCAGGUCACUAGCAGCUUUUUUUUUUGGCUUUAAAAUGAUUCCACUUAUCAAGAGUCGUUUUCCCCUUGAAAGCAUUGAAGGCAGCAUCCAGAAGAGAAUUAGAGAGGCCUGCUCUUCCUGUUGUGAUGACAUGUUAGAAUUUAAAAGUGCGUUGUCAGAGGUAACUUUCUCAGGCUUAGCCAAAGCACACGAUGCCUUUUGAACAGAAAACCACUUUCUAGAUGAUUGGAGGGCCUUCUCCUGUAGCCGGUGUUUGAAAGGUACAUCGAUUGAUGGACCUUGUGGCUGCCAGAAGCGCAUGGAUUGUAAUCCAUGCCCCGAGCCAUCAGAGUUAGCAGGUCUUUUCCCAGGGAACACAUUACACUCUGUUUUCCCCCGCCUUUUUGUAUUUCUAUUUAUUUUUCGCCAGAAAUACACCGUUGAAAAAAUUUUAGACGACGUUAGAAGCUUUACUGCACCCCAUUCUCAUCCUAACCGCCCCCCCGCCCCCCGAUAGAGAGGUUAGUUGCUGUGUAUCCUCCCAGGGUUUGGGGCGGUUUGUUUACUGCACAGGCAUGGAAAUACGAAUGAAUGUGUAUUGUGUCCCCUUGGCCCCCGUGACCUGCUGGGCCCUCCGAGCCCGGCUCUCCGCGAAGGUGACACUGGUCUUCUUCCUGUUCCUCGCGGAAGGAUGUGGCCUAGAGCUCCAUCUCUGUCAGAACGCGGGGCGCUCCUCCCUCUGUCUACACAGCAGAUCUUUGACGGGACCGUGCCUGCAUCGUACGUAGUUUAUGUGACCAGCUCUCUCUGGAUGGCCGUUCGGAUGGUUUCUUUUUUCUUUCUUUUUUUUUUUUUUUUUUUGUAGGGCCGCACCUAGGGCAUAUGGAGGUUCCCAGGUGAAGGGUUGAAUCAGCUGUAUUUUUGCCCGCCGACGCCACAGCCACAGCCACAGCAGCGUGGGAUCCGAGCCACGUCUGCGACCUACACCCCAGCUCACGGCAACACCAGAUCCUUAACCCACUGAGUGAGGCCAGGGAUGGAACCUGCAUCCUCAUGGAUGCUAGUCAGAUUCGUUUUUUCUGCUGAGCCACGACGGGAGCUCCUUGGAUGGUUUCUGAUGCUUUUUUGUUUCCAGGCACUGCUGGGAUAUUGUACACACACGUGCAGCGUGUCUGUCUGUAGGAUACAAUCUCAGAAAGGUGAUUGCUGGGUCAGAGAUAAAUGCAUUUGCAAUUUUGACAGCUGUAAUCUGAUAGACCAUCAGGUGUUUAUUACCGUUUUAAAAAAAUUUGGUUUCUCACCGGGAAUGUCAGAGAGAAACUCUUUCUUUCCCUUUGGCAAAUGCGGCCAUGGAUUAUGGCCCAAACCAGGACACUCUUAAGUCUGGAAGUGGCUCUAUUAAUAGUGACACUGGGACAGCAGGCAGGGGCCAGGGCUUUGCUGGCACUGCAGACAUAUCUUGACGUACUCGUAGUCGUGCCAGCAGAACGGGCUGUCAAACUUUCUCAAGGGACCUCGAGUGGAAUUCAAGUUCAAAAAUAAUCGCCUAACAAGGCAACCUUUAAAAGGAAAGCUACAGUGACGGUGGCAGGACGCUGUGAAUGUACUUAAUGCCAGUGACCCCUACACUUGAACGUGGUGCCAGGGGUAAAUUGUAUGUUACGUGUAUUUCGCAACAGUUAAAAACCAAAACUCACAAAAAGGAGCAGACCGACCCAUGACUCUAUAUGGCUCAAUCUCAGAUGAUGCCCGGUGAAUGUCUUGAAAGGCUGCAUAUUGUGCGAUUCUCUUCCUGAAGAUAGUCUGGAAAGGGGGAAACUCUAGAAAUGGAAAAGAGAUGCGUGGUUUCAGGAGCUGGGCUGUGGGGAGGGUGGAGUGUCAGGCCGCAGGGGCGUCUCGGGGGUGAUGGACCUGUUCUGUGUAUUGAUGGGGGCAGCAGUUUCAUAUACACUGUCAGUGGCAGACCCGACGGAACGGCACACUCAAAGGGGUGCCUGCGACUUGUGCAAGAUGUCCCUUAAUAAAACAAAUGGAAAGGGAAUGGAAUAAAAAAGUAAGGCCACUCAGGAUUCCGUCCCUGGAGCUUUGGGAAAGUUGCCCUGCCUGAUUUCUUUUGUGGGCAAGUGCAGUGGGACCUGAGGGACGCUUGCCAGUGGGCCUCCUGCCCGGUGACCAUUUGUGUCGCUUGCUGUUGUCGUGGGCCCUGCUGCCUCAAGCUCUCUGGCUCUGUGAGCAUCUGUCAAGCCAGCUCCGGCCUCGGGGAUCCUGCAGAUGCCAACGUGGGGUCCAGGGCUUGCCUGGUCCCUGAGUGUGUCAUGGCAAGGCUCAGGUGGGUGCACAUAGAUCCAGUCUGGGGUCUGCUGGAAGGAGGGAGGCAGGCAGAGAGCUGGAUCCCAGCCUGCCCCGAGGAUUCUGUCCCAUCCCUUCUGGGAGCUGGGAAAGCAUGCUUCUGCACGGGAUCUGUCUUGGCGGUGACAGAGGGAGCCCAUUUGGAGGGCCAAGAUGAGUGUCUCCUGCAUCUGGACAAAGAGGUUAGACCCUCUAGAUGGAUGAGAACACAGGGUCCUGCAGGUAAGUAGAGUCCGGGGCCACGAGGGCAGUGAAGACUGCUGGAAAAGGCAGAUGCUGGGGCCCAGGCAGGGGCACAGGUGCCUGACAGCCACCCGCAGUCAGGAGUCAGCAUCAGAACACUCAGCAGCGCUCAUCAUCAGAGGAAUGCAAAUCAAAUCACAGGAUAGCACUUCACACCCAUUAGAGCAGUUAUUCUAAAAAACACACAAAAUACACAUGGCAGUAGAGUGUGGAGAAGUUGGAACUCUUGUGCGCUGUUGGUGAAAGGGUUGAGCCGCUGUGGAAAACAGGAUGGCCGUUCCUCAAAACAUUAGACCAGACACUACUGUGUGAUCUGACAGUUCUUCUGGGCGUGUCCCCCAAAAGAUCCGAAAGCAAGCACGCCAACAGACGUUUGCACACGCAUGUUCCUAGCAGCACUAUUCACAGAAGCCGGAAGAGGGCGGCGACCCCAGUGUCUGUUGACGGAUGAAUGGAUAAACAAAAUGCGGUCCAUCCAUGCAGUGGAAUGUUGUUCAGCCUUGAAAAGGAAGGACAUCCUGACACAGGCAACACCGUGGAUGAACCUUGAGGACCUUCUGCUAAGUGGAAUCCGUCCUGAAAGGCUGUAUGAUUCCCCUCAUAGGAGGUACCUGAGCAGUCGAGCUCUUGGAGACGGAAAGUAGCGAGCUGGUCGCCAGGGCCUGGGUGGGGGUGGGGCGAGAGGGGCGUUAGUGUUUACUGGCUGCGGAGCUUCCGUUUGGGCAGGUGGACAAGUCCUGGAGGUGGAUGCGGGUGCUGGUUGUAGAACAACACAAGUGGACUUAAUGUCACAGACCUGUGCCCUGAAAAAUGGUUGAAAUGCGAAGUUUUAUGUUACAUAUAUUUUACCAUAAAAAAUUCAUCUUAAGAAAACCAGAUCUGAGAGGCGUGAGCUGAAGCCAAGUGGGCUCAUCUGCAAAGCCGGGUGGGUGAAGAGGGGACCUGGUGCGGUGGGGAGAGGGGGUUCCACGUCGGCGUGGAUUGUCUUGCUUUGCUCCUUCAUGGUCGUUGUCAUCGCACGCAGAUGUGCCAUCACCCCUUGGUCUCCUGCGUGCCCUCCCAGAAGUCAGAGUGUUGCCCAUGUGCCGAGACCUGAGCCUGAGCAGGGACCCAGAGGCCAGGGACAUCUGUCCUUGUCCCUUCCCCCAGAGAGCCUUGGUUGUCACCUGGUCCCCCUGAAACCCUCCCCAUCCUCCCAGGAAGGGUCCCAUGAAUGACGACAAGUUCUGGGGGCCCUCCUGCUCCCACUUGGGCCCUGGUCCCUACUAGCUGCAGCCAUGGGUCCCGCUGCCCGGGCCUUGAGUCUGCGCUGAGGCUCCAGCAGCAGCUGGGAAGCCCCGUGUCAGGCCGCAGACGCUGCCCUUGACUUUCUCAGCAUUGGGACCUGGGGAAGGGGGCAGCACCAUGGGUUGGGCAUCUCUCGGCUGCAUGGAUUACCGAGUGGGGCUUCCUGGAGCUCCUGCAGCUGUGUUGAGCAAGGCCCUCUUUCGGGGUUUCACGCACCCUGUCGCAUAGUAAUCUCUGUACCUGGAACUUGGGCAGAGGCCGUAGGCUGCCCAGAGGACAUCCUGAGCUGGGGCCUUCCUGAGGCCCGGUCCUCCCUCCUUUCUCACUUCUGGGAGUGUGAGGGCCCCCUCUCUGUGUCCUUCGGGAUGUGUUUUCUUAGGAGGUCCUGAGAUCUCUCCCGCAGAGACCCCUGGCAGAUCCGCCUCUCCAGCCCGCUGCACCUGCCCAGCUUCUCUCGUAAUCCCCUGACUGUGCCCCAGGCUCAGUCCCCCACGACACCCUUACUCCCAGACAGGGUCAUCAUCCUUAGCCCUGCUGUCCAAGACAGCAGCCCAAGGCCUCAUGUGCUGUGGAGAAGGUGGCCUGUCAUUUGCUGAAAGUGUAAAAUGCGUGCCAGGUUUGGAAGGUUUGCUGUGAAAAGGGGUGUGUAGAAAUACCCCAUCAGUUAUUUUAUAUCUGUAUGUUGAAACAACGACAGGUUAUUUUGGGUAAAAUAAAAUACAUGAUGAACAUUCAUUUCGCUUGUUGGAUUUGCCUUUGAAAACGUGGCUACCUGCAAAUCUGAGGCUACCUGUGCAGCUCCCCUGUCACUCUCUUGGGCAGCACUUUUUAGAGCAGCAGCCCCUCCCGGAAGCUGGGUAGAGAUGCAGGUUCUUGGCUCCACCGCUGGCUGGCCCAGGGAAGCCAAGCCUCUGGGGCGGGCUCGGCAUCUGUGUUUAACAAGCCUCUGAUUCUGGUUAUGGGCAAGUUUGAGAUCCGGGGCCGCUGAGGCACUCUUUCAGUUCCCAGGUCACUGUGACUUUAUGGAGAGCAUGCACAGCGAAAGGAGAUGGCUGAGAAGGGGAGAGCCAGCUGGUGUCAGUGAGCGAAACUGGCGCGUUUGUGCAGCCCUGCCUGUGGCGCUGAGACGGAGGUCUCUGAAUCACAGUACCUGCUGGACGGGCUGCCGAGCCCCCGACGGCACCUGCACACGGCGGCUGAGGUCUGGAGCCAGGCUCUCGGUUCUCUUUGUCUCUCUCCGUGCGCCUGCCCCCGGACUCUUUGUUUCUUUUCCCAUUUCCAGCCGUUGCUCAGUGGACUAGACGACAGCGUUGGCUCGUCUCUUUCAUUGUUCAUGGGGCAAAGCUUGCCCUCACCGGGGGCUGUUUCUGCUGCACGGACGCUUGAGUUGAUCACGAUGCCAGGACUCGUGUGCGCUUAGCGGGGUCCUGAAUGGCGUCUUCAUUCUGCGGAGACACAGGGAGGGGAGAUGCUCAGAAGACUAAGUCGGUCCCUUCCCCGGACGUACUGAACCGGCCGUGGUUUUCUGAAAUCUCCUAGAGUGGAGACGCUCUUGGGGAAAAAGUCACACUCCAAACAUGUCCCUCCCUUAACUCCUUUCGGGGGAGAUUUUGGUUUCUUUCUCGUAUGAACAAACGGGGUCUUGAUGAGAGUUCUGCAUCUGGUGUUGCCGAGGUCAUGUGCAUUUGAGCAAAGCAUUUGUCUUCUUCGUGCCUCUAACUGCUGGUCCCCAAAACAGAUGUAACGUUUUCCAAUGUCACUUAAAGUUUUGCAGCGCGUGUUCAGGCAUCGUGGUGGAUGGGAAUGCGUUACCGACAUGGUUAAUAAUCCCAUCCAGGCUUUGGCACCUCAUGAAGCCAUGUUUGGGUCUGUUCUGCACCUUGGUGACCUCACUUGUAAAACGGGGAUCAUGCAGAUCCGCAGUACUUUCUGUAAAGCCCUUGGGGCCAAAUGCGUGCAGGCAUUUGCGUCGUUUCGCUUUUCCGGGCUGCGCCUAUGGAACAGGAGAUUUCUAGCAGAGUCUUUGGUAGCGUCGUGGGAUCCCAUCCGUUCGUGUUUCUGAAAUAAAACAUGAACAUUCUCACAAAGUGGGAUUUGAAAAAAGACCGUAUAUAGCUUCCUAUCAGUUGAGGUAAUGUUUUGCUGUCAAACGAAUUUUAAGAACAACCUUUAGUUUUGAGACUUUUUGGUAUUCUGGGUGGUGGAUAAGGAGUUGUGGACUUUGGGAGGGAGUCUGUUGUCUGCAAUAACGGAAUAAACUCAGAUUAGCAAGUGUGCAGCUUUGAUUUAUUUUGGAAUGGCUGAGGCAUGCCCCGGGGCUGGGAGAAGAUGCCAAAGAGCUGAUGCCUGAGUCAGCCUCUCAUAGUUGGUCCUGAGGCCAACAGCCUGAGUCCUGAGUGCUGGGAGGGGACUUUCCCAGAUGGUGGUGCCUAGUGUUUGGUUUUGAUUUUUAGACAGAAAAAAAAAAAAAA